AAACUUUUCUAAAUACUAUUUCUAUCUUUCUUUGAAACACAAAUAUAGUGUUUCCCCUACUCAAACUCAAGUCUUUUCAUUUCUCUCUCUUCCUCUUAUUCUUUCUUCUCUCUUCCUCUACCUCUUCUUUCUUCCACUGCUUUCUUUCCUCACUAUGUUCUCUUCAUUUUCUGCAUUUUACAACAACAAUGAUGAAUCUCAAUUGUUUCUUUAAAUCUUCAAACUUUAGUUUCCUUUAUUUAUUAUUGCUGAAUCAUUUUGAACACCUAAAUCUUUUGUUCAUAUAAGAUUUUAGAUUUUAUUCUUACUUUAAAUUUUAGAUUAGUGAUAUUUCAGAUCUGGAAAAUCAGUGAUGUUUUUUAGAUCUGUAAAGAAACCGAUGAUAUUUUUCAGAUCUGUGAAAUAAUAUAAGAUCUGGAAAAUCUGAAGGAUGGAUGUUUUUCUGUAUUUCUUUUUCAGGUUGUUCAAGUGGUUUAACAAGUUAUUCGAGUGGUUUGUCAACAGCAACAUCAAAGGAAUGAAUAAAAAGAAGAUUUUGCAUUUUGAGAUGCUUGGAGUUAAGAGAAUUGAACAGGUACUUCCGGUUGGAACUUCCUUGACAGUUGUUGGUGAGGAAAACGCAAGGACAUAAACGCUUAUGGAAAUAAUCCAAUAACAAUAGUGAGUUAGUUGACCCAAAGAAUGAUAGUUUAAGUAUAAGAUAAAAUUUGCAAUAUAUAAGUGUAGGUGUAAUACUAUUAUACAUUAUUAAUUAUAGUUCAUUCAUAAAAAUAAAAGUGAUUAAAAAUGUAGUAUCAAUGUUCAACUUUAAAAAUAAGAUAA